rnacentral:misc_RNA from 1 species
GAAAAUACGCGUUUUUCUCAUUACUAACAAAGGAGAGUUUCAUUGAACAAGGCUGUUGUCUCAGUUUAUUUAACAGUACCAAACUAGAUACUUACCUAACACUUGAUAAUGAGGCUCCUACUACCGCCUCCUUGACUGGCCGAUGGAGUUGUGAUCACUUCAGAAAUCUGUGAGCCAGUUUUCGAUCUUUACACAUUCCUUUGGCUCUUCAAAGAGUUGAUGUAAUUCUCUGGCAAGUAGAUCUCACCGCCAACCUCACCGUGUUGUUCCCCACUAAUGGUUUUUUUUGCAGCUUGAAACGCUGCACUCAUAGCAUCCAUGCCCUGCUGAAUGGCUUCCUCUGCAUUUCCAUAACCAUGAUUUUCAGCAUACUUUCUUAUAUCUUCGGUUAUUUUCAUGGAGCAAAACUUAGGCCCGCACAUAGAGCAGAAAUGUGCCACUUUAGCCCCAUCGGCUGGUAAAGUUUCGUCGUGAAAGGACAUUGCAGUAACGGGGUCCAAUGAUAAAGCGAAUUGGUCCAUCCAUCUGAACUCAAAUCUUGCCUUGCUAAGUGCAUCAUCCCAGGCUUGAGAUAGCGGGUGACCUUUUGCAAGAUCAGCUGCAUGAGCAGCUAUCUUAUAUGAUAUUACACCUGUCUUCACGUCAUCGCGAUUAGGCAGACCAAGAUGCUCUUUUGGAGUGACGUAACACAGAAGUGCAGUCCCGAGUGCUCCUAUAUUGGCUGCACCGAUAGCUGAGGUGAUAUGAUCAUAUCCGGGAGCUAUAUCAGUUGUCAAUGGUCCAAGAGUGUAAAAUGGUGCUUCAUUACACCACUCUAGCUGUUUCUGCAUGUUCUCGGGAAUCUUAUGCAUUGGUACAUGUCCAGGUCCUUCAUUCAUAACCUGUACAUCCUUUUCCCAAGCUCGGCGAGUCAGCUCCCCUUGAGUCAAGAGCUCAGCAAACUGAGCGGUGUCAUUUGCAUCAUAAAUUGAACCAGGUCUCAGUCCAUCACCAAUUGAUAACGAUAUAUCGUACUGAUUACAGAUGUCAAGUAUGUCA